rnacentral:rRNA from 1 species
CCUACGGGAGGCAGCAGUGAGGAAUAUUGGUCAAUGGGCGCGAGUCUGAACCAGCCAAGCCGCGUGAAGGAUGACGGAUCUAUGGUUUGUAAACUUCUUUUAUAUGGGAAUAAAGUGAGGAACGUGUUCCUUUUUGUAUGUACCAUACGAAUAAGCAUCGGCUAACUCCGUGCCAGCAGCCGCGGUAAUACGGAGGAUUCGAGCGUUAUCCGGAUUUAUUGGGUUUAAAGGGUGCGUAGGUGGUUAAUUAAGUCAGAGGUGAAAGUUUGUGGCUCAACCAUAAAAUUGCCGUUGAUACUGGUUGACUUGAGUAUAUUUGAGGUAGGCGGAAUGCAUGGUGUAGCGGUGAAAUGCUUAGAGAUCACGCAGAACUCCGAUUGCGAAGGCAGCUUACUAAGCUAUAACUGACAUUGAAGCACGAAAGCGUGGGGAUCAAACAGGAUUAGAUACCCGUGUAGUC